rnacentral:rRNA from 1 species
GACGAACGCUGGCGGCGUGCUUAACACAUGCAAGUCGAACGGAAAGGCCCUGCUUUUGUGGGGUGCUCGAGUGGCGAACGGGUGAGUAACACGUGAGUAACCUGCCCUUGACUUUGGGAUAACUUCAGGAAACUGGGGCUAAUACCGGAUAGGAGCUCCUGCUGCAUGGUGGGGGUGGGAAAGUUUCGGCGGUUGGGGAUGGACUAGCGGCUUAUCAGCUUGUUGGAGGGGUAGUGGGUUAGCAAGGCUUUGAAGGGUAGCCGGCCUGAGAGGGUGAGCGGCCACAUUGGGACUGAGAUGCGGCCCAGACUCCUCCGGGAGGCAGCAGUGGGGAAUGUUGCACAAUGGGCGGAAGCCUGAUGCAGCAACGCCGCGUGCGGGAUGACGGCCUUCGGGUUGUAUUCCGCUUUCGCCUGUGACGAAGCGUGAGUGACGGUAAUGGGUAAAGAAGCACCGGCUAACUACGUG